GCGCACGCUGGCGGCAGGCCUCACCCCUGCAAGUCGCACGCACCUUUCGGGGUUAGUGGCGGACGGGUGAGUAACACGUGGGAACGUGCCUUUAGGUUCGGAAUAACUCAGGGAAACUUGUGCUAAUACCGAAUGUGCCCUUCGGGGGAAAGAUUAAUCGCCUUUAGAGCGGCCCGCGUCUGAUUAGCUAGUUGGUUGAGGUAAUGGCUCACCAAGGCGACGAUCAGUAGCUGGUCUGAGAGGAUGAUCAGCCACAUUGGGACUGAGACACGGCCCAAACUCCUACGGGAGGCAGCAGUGGGGAAUCUUGCGCAAUGGGCGAAAGCCUGACGCAGCCAUGCCGCGUGAAUGAUGAAGGUCUUAGGAUUGUAAAAUUCUUUCACCGGGGACGAUAAUGACGGUACCCGGAGAAGAAGCCCCGGCUAACUUCGUG
rnacentral:rRNA from 1 species